UCGCUGUGAAGAUGCAGUGUACCCGCGGCAAGACGGAAAGACCCCGUGAACCUUUACUAUAGCUUGACACUGAACAUUGAGCCUUGAUGUGUAGGAUAGGUGGGAGGCUUUGAAGUGUGGACGCCAGUCUGCAUGGAGCCGACCUUGAAAUACCACCCUUUAAUGUUUGAUGUUCUAACGUGGACCCGUGAUCCGGGUUGCGGACAGUGUCUGGUGGGUAGUUUGACUGGGGCGGUCUCCUCCUAAAGAGUAACGGAGGAGCACGAAGGUUGGCUAAUCCUGGUCGGACAUCAGGAGGUUAGUGCAAUGGCAUAAGCCAGCUUGACUGCGAGCGUGACGGCGCGAGCAGGUGCGAAAGCAGGUCAUAGUGAUCCGGUGGUUCUGAAUGGAAGGGCCAUCGCUCAACGGAUAAAAGGUACUCCGGGGAUAACAGGCUGAUACCGCCCAAGAGUUCAUAUCGACGGCGGUGUUUGGCACCUCGAUGUCGGCUCAUCACAUCCUGGGGCUGAAGUAGGUCCCAAGGGUAUGGCUGUUCGCCAUUUAAAGUGGUACGCGAGCUGGGUUUAGAACGUCGUGAGACAGUUCGGUCCCUAUCUGCCGUGGGCGCUGGAGAACUGAGGGGGGCUGCUCCUAGUACGAGAGGACCGGAGUGGACGCAUCACUGGUGUUCGGGUUGUCAUGCCAAUGGCACUGCCCGGUAGCUAAAUGCGGAAGAGAUAAGUGCUGAAAGCAUCUAAGCACGAAACUUGCCCCGAGAUGAGUUCUCCCUGACUCCUUGAG
rnacentral:rRNA from 1 species